AGCGGGGUGGGGAAGCCAGGUUAUCCCGCCGGGCUCAUAACCCGGAGGUCCCUGGUUCAAAUCCAGGCCCCGCUA
rnacentral:tRNA from 1 species